rnacentral:rRNA from 1 species
UACGUAGGGACCGAGCGUUGUCCGGAUUCAUUGGGCGUAAAGAGCUCGUAGGUGGCUGAUCGCGUCGAAUGUGAAAGCCCAUGGCUUAACUGUGGGUCUGCAUUCGAUACGGGUCGGCUUGAGGUAGGUAGGGACAAGCGGAAUUCCUGAUGUAGCGGUGAAAUGCGCAGAUAUCAGGAGGAACACCGGUGGCGAAGGCGGGUCUCUGGGCCGAUACUGACGCUGAGGAGCGAAAGCGUGGGGAGCAAACAGG